GCGACUCUUCGGAGGCGUUACACAGGUGCUGCAUGGCCGUCGUCAGCUCGUGUCGUGAGAUGUUUGGUUAAGUCCAGCAACGAGCGCAACCCCUGUUGCCAGUUACCAGCACGUGAAGGUGGGGACUCUGGCGAGACUGCCCAGAUCAACUGGGAGGAAGGUGGGGACGACGUCAGGUCAGUAUGGCCCUUAUGCCCAGGGCUGCACACGUACUACAAUGCCCAGUACAGAGGGGGCCGAAGCCGCGAGGCGGAGGAAAUCCUAAAAACUGGGCCCAGUUCGGACUGUAGGCUGCAACCCGCCUACACGAAGCCGGAAUCGCUAGUAAUGGCGCAUCAGCUACGGCGCCGUGAAUACGUUCCCGGGUCUUGUACACACCGCCCGUCACAUCAUGGAAGCCGGUCGCACCCGAAGUAUCUGAAGCCGACCGCAAGGAGGCAGGGUCCUAAGGUGAGACUGGUAACUGGGAUGAAGUCGUAACAAGGUAGCCGUAGGGGAACCUGCGGC
rnacentral:rRNA from 1 species